GAUCAUGGCUCAGGAUGAACGCUAGCUACAGGCUUAACACAUGCAAGUCGAGGGGCAGCAUGGUUCUUAGCUUGCUAAGACUGAUGGCGACCGGCGCACGGGUGAGUAACACGUAUCCAACCGUGCCGUCUACUCUUGGACAGCCUUCUGAAAGGAAGAUUAAUACAAGAUGGCAUCAUGAGUCCGCAUGUUCACAUGAUUAAAGGUAUUCCGGUAGACGAG
rnacentral:rRNA from 1 species